rnacentral:rRNA from 1 species
CGAAGGGGCUAGCGUUGCUCGGAAUCACUGGGCGUAAAGGGUGCGUAGGCGGGUCUUUAAGUCAGAGGUGAAAGCCUGGAGCUCAACUCCAGAACUGCCUUUGAUACUGAGGAUCUUGAGUUCGGGAGAGGUGAGUGGAACUGCGAGUGUAGAGGUGAAAUUCGUAGAUAUUCGCAAGAACACCAGUGGCGAAGGCGGCUCACUGGCCCGAUACUGACGCUGAGGCACGAAAGCGUGGGAGCAAACAGGAUU